rnacentral:rRNA from 1 species
AGUGAGUAGCUUGCUACGAGCUGUUUUAGCGGCGGACGGGUGAGUAACGCGUGGGUGACCUGCCCCAUACCGGGGGAUAACAGCUGGAAACGGCUGCUAAUACCGCAUAAGCGCACAGAGCUGCAUGGCUCAGUGUGAAAAACUCCGGUGGUAUAAGAUGGACCCGCGUUGGAUUAGCUAGUUGGUGAGGUAACGGCCCACCAAGGCGACGAUCCAUAGCCGACCUGAGAGGGUGACCGGCCACAUUGGGACUGAGACACGGCCCAAACUCC